GAUGAACGCUGGCGGCGUGCCUAAUACAUGCAAGUCGAGCGGACAGACGAGGAGCUUGCUCCUCUGACGUUAGCGGCGGACGGGUGAGUAACACGUGGAUAACCUACCUAUAAGACUGGGAUAACUUCGGGAAACCGGAGCUAAUACCGGAUAAUAUAUUGAACCGCAUGGUUCAAUAGUGAAAGACGGUUUUGCUGUCACUUAUAGAUGGAUCCGCGCCGCAUUAGCUAGUUGGUAAGGUAACGGCUUACCAAGGCGACGAUGCGUAGCCGACCUGAGAGGGUGAUCGGCCACACUGGAACUGAGACACGGUCCAGACUCCUACGGGAGGCAGCAGUAGGGAAUCUUCCGCAAUGGGCGAAAGCCUGACGGAGCAACGCCGCGUGAGUGAUGAAGGUCUUCGGAUCGUAAAACUCUGUUAUUAGGGAAGAACAAAUGUGUAAGUAACUAUGCACGCCUUGACGGUACCUAAUCAGAAAGCCACGGCUAACUACGUG
rnacentral:rRNA from 1 species